rfam:Dipodomys ordii contig_20645, whole genome shotgun sequence.
GGUGGCUCAGUGGUAGAGCAUUUGCCUUGCAUGCAUGAGACCCUGGGUUCGAUUCCUCAGCACCA